UUAGAAAUAUUUUUUUGGUUCCUAUCUUGCAAAAAUUCAUAAGGCAAAGGAGAUAGCACAUGGCACCAACAGAAAAAGAUUUUUUGAUGUUACUCCCGGCAGAAUAGGCACCUGCUCCUUCCACUUCAUUUUUCCUCUCUCUUUCUCUUAUUCACUUUUAAAUAUAUACACACACUCAACACAGACACAGAGAACAAGAAAAAGAACGGACGGAAAAACAGAACAAAAAAACAGAGAACAAAAAAAUAAGAGUUGCUGCUCAUCUUCUUUUUCUUGAGGAGCCAAUGGAAAGAGGAUCUUCUUCCUUAUAAAAAUCCUAGAUCUAGAGCUUAAGAUCCACCAUGAAAGGGCCAUGAGAGCUCAUCUUUCCCAACUGAAAUCCACCACCAAACCUCCAUUACCACCACUACAUGAAGCUUCCAAACCAGCGAAAGUUCCAUUCUGAAAAACCUCUUAAACACCACCAAAACGAAGCUGAAAAGUAGCUUUAAAUAGUCCUUAAACUAGCCCCAAAAGCCAUCGUAGCUUCAGCCAUAAAACCUCAUCCUCUCCAAAAAUCCAACGAGAGCCCCUCUUGGGUCAGCCGUUAAAAAAAUGCAGAAACAGAGAGAGGGUGAACGGGAAGAAACAGAGUGAGAAAUUCCUGUGACAACAGUCAUCCGCUUCAGUCAUCGCUGAAGAGUCGAGGUCCGUCCGAGGUUCGUCGAUUUCCGGCAAGCUUCGAAGUCGAAGUUUCGUUGGUCCUGUUCACGUCCCCAUCCGAUUUUGGAGCUGCAAAUCAGAUCUGAGACAGGUGCAUCUAGCUACCUAGUCGGCGCGCAUCCCUGAUACUUGAUCGAGACUUCACGGAUCUGAGGCAGGUGCAUCUAGCUACCCAGUCGGCGCGUAUCCCUGAUACUUGAUCGAGACUUCACGGUAAGCUGCCCCUUCUGAGCCGUUCAGCAGCAUGUCGUAGUCUCUUCUUUUUUUGUUAUUUCUGUCUAAUCUAUUCCAGGCAGCAAGGUAGUUAUAUUCUUUUGUACAUUCUACUAGUUGCCAUAAUACUUGUAACACUGGUUCCUGGCUCACGCACUGCUAGACUAUUAUU